CCUACGGGAGGCAGCAGUGGGGAAUCUUGCACAAUGGAGGAAACUCUGAUGCAGCGAUGCCGCGUGAGUGAAGAAGGCCCUUGGGUUGUAAAGCUCUUUCGUCGGGGAAGAAAAUGACUGUACCCGAAUAAGAAGGUCCGGCUAACUUCGUGCCAGCAGCCGCGGUAAUACGAAGGGACCUAGCGUAGUUCGGAAUUACUGGGCUUAAAGAGUUCGUAGGUGGUUGAAAAAGUUGGUGGUGAAAUCCCAGAGCUUAACUCUGGAACUGCCAUCAAAACUUUUCAGCUAGAGUUUGAUAGAGGAAAGCAGAAUUUCUAGUGUAGAGGUGAAAUUCGUAGAUAUUAGAAAGAAUACCAAUUGCGAAGGCAGCUUUCUGGAUCAUUACUGACACUGAGGAACGAAAGCAUGGGUAGCGAAGAGGAUUAGAUACCCUCGUAGUCCAUGCCGUAAACGAUGUGUGUUAGACGUUGGAAAUUUAUUUUCAGUGUCGCAGCGAAAGCGAUAAACACACCGCCUGGGGAGUACGACCGCAAGGUUAAAACUCAAAUGAAUUGACGG
rnacentral:rRNA from 1 species